UACAGAGGUCUCAAGCGUUGUUCGGAUUCAUUGGGCGUAAAGGGUGCGUAGGCGGCGCGGUAAGUCGGGUGUGAAAUCUCGGAGCUUAACUCCGAAACUGCAUUCGAUACUGCCGUGCUUGAGGACUGGAGAGGAGAGUGGAAUUCCCGGUGUAGCGGUGAAAUGCGCAGAUAUCAGGAGGAACACCAAUGGCGAAGGCAGCUCGCUGGGACGGUACUGACACUGAGACGCGAAAGCGUGGGGAGCAAACAGG
rnacentral:rRNA from 1 species